CGCCUUCACCGGUGACUUUGGU
rnacentral:miRNA from 1 species